rnacentral:rRNA from 1 species
UCUUGGUCAUUUAGAGGAAGUAAAAGUCGUAACAAGGUUUCCGUAGGUGAACCUGCGGAAGGAUCAUUAUCGAAUUACCGGUGAGGGUUGUUGCUGGCCUCCAGGGGCAUGUGCACACCCGAGCCUUUAAUCCAACACACCUGUGAACUUAAUGUAGGCCUUAGGGCCUAUGUCUUUCAUCAACCCUUUGCAUGUCUAAUAGAAUGUAAAUCAUUUGUUGCCAUAAAAAGCAAUCAAUACAACUUUCAACAACGGAUCUCUUGGCUCUCGCAUCGAUGAAGAACGCAGCGAAAUGCGAUAAGUAAUGUGAAUUGCAGAUUUUCAGUGAAUCAUCGAAUCUUUGAACGCACCUUGCGCUCCUUGGUAUUCCGAGGAGCAUGCCUGUUUGAGUGUCAUUAAAUUCUCAACCUCAUCUGAUUUGUUUCGGAUCGAGGCUUGGACUUGGGGUGUGCUGGCGAGAGUCGGCUCCCCUUUAAAUGCAUCAGCGGAAUUCAAACCCUUGCUGUCAUCAGUGUGAUAAUCAUGUUGCGCUGUUACCAGGCUAGGGGUCCGCUUACAGCCGUCUUCGGACAACUCUGAAACAUUUGACCUCAAAUCAGGUAGGACUACCCGCUGAACUUAAGCAUAUCAAUAAGCGGAGGAA